rnacentral:lncRNA from 1 species
UGGAGUACAGUUUUCAAUUCUUCAGGGCUCCAGAUUUGGGACUUGGUCAAUUUAUAUGGUAGACAAAGAGCAAUUCUCUCAGCAAAGCUAUUUUUCCCUUGCGUCACUGCAGACUUGUUAAUCUUAGUCCAAGUCACAUAUCUCUUGUAGGGCUUUGCUGAAAAGAGGCAAGAAGCAGCCAACACAUGCUAGCACUCUGAAGUUCUACCACCUUCGUCUCUGUGGCAGGAAGUCUCAACCUCACCUUGACUUCUGUUGGCAAGAAGUCUCACUGCCCAAAGCCCUACCUCCUCAACUAAGCCAACCCCAGAUUUAGGGCCUUCGACUUGCUGCACUUUACUUCUAGCUGCCAAAUUCUGUAUAGGUCAAGAUGCUUGGCUGUAGGCAAUGAAAUCUUCUUUAGCUAUUAAACAGAAGGGAAUUGAUGAAUGAGUAUAUAUAGGUCACAGAAUCAAUGGGAGGGUUGAAGAAACAGAUCUAGGCUGAGCUUCUAGGAAUUAUGUCACAAGAGUAGGCUGCUGAAAGAGCUGCUGCUUUUAGAACAAUCAAGAAGCUGCCUGCUGGAUUAGGAAGCUGCCUGCUGAACAGUUGCCAGUUCCAGAGCCACACCACCUCUGCCAUGCUUUAUGCCAGCAAAAAUAGAUACAUCUCUUCCUGCCUCUGUCCCCACGUUACUUGGCUCUGAGUAAAAGUCUCAAAGAUGCGGUCUCUCUCUGUCAUCCAGGCUGGAGUACAGUGGUGCCAUCAUAACUCACUAUAGUCUCGAACUUCUGGGCUCAAGCAAUCCUCCUGUCUCAGCUUCCUGAAUAGCUGGGACUCCAGGUGUGUGCUUCCAUGCCCGGCUAAUUUUUAAAUUUGUUGUAGAGAUGGGGUCUUGCUAUGUUGCCCAGGCUGGCUUCAAAUUCCUGGCCUCAAGC